rnacentral:lncRNA from 1 species
GGUGGGGUGGGGGUGGGUGCCAUUCUCUGCCGGAGACACCCGGGGCUGGCACCCCAGCCUCUCCCGCUGUGGUGGACAAGGGCCACUGUUAUCUAGUCAGCAGCUGAGCUAGGGUGCAGUUCACCUGCGGCGGCGGGCACGGGGGUCAGGCCGGGGCCCCCUGCCUGCUCUCCACAGGGCCAUUUGCCAGCCACCCCCUGCCCGAAGGAGAGAUGUGCUGAUGGGGAGCCAUGGGGAGCAUGAGGUGGGAGGGGCAGGGCUCGCAGGAGGGCCUCGCCAUGGAGGGGGGCUGCCUGGUUCGGCCACCAUAACUGGUGUCUGAGUGACACCGGAUGGGUACUCGAGGGUCCCGAGGCCUUGAGGGCCCCCCCCCACGCCUGAGUGCUCUCUUGGACCCUCUCAUUUCUAGUCCACGACCAGAGGGAGAUUUGACCAGGCUGGCCUGCAGGACAAUCAGGGUGCGAGGAGAGCAUGGGGGCCGCUGGACACCCCCUGCUCUGUCUGAGGCUCAUUCUCCUCCACCGGUUUCUGAAAGGACAAAGGAAGACUCAGCUCCUGGUAAAAAGCUUCCUCCGGGAACCCCCCCGCGAUGACGUCUCGAGGGGCGCCAGCCUCCCGCCCGCGGCCACCUGGCGCCAAGCGCUUUCCAAGAAGGUCGUGGCCCACCGCGCACGCGCCGCGCCUACGUCCCGAAACCUCGGGCUUUACCGGCCGCGUCAUCCUCCCCGCGCGACCCGGGCUCCGGGAAGGGGCGGGGCGGGGCGGGGCCUGGCGGGGGCGGGGCGGGCGCUUCCGGCACCGCCCCCUUCCCGGCACGGCCGCGCCCCGCCGCCCGCUGCCCGCUGCCCGCUUCCCGCCCGCGGCCCGAGCCCUUCCCCGCCCCGACGUCUCGACCCCCUGUGCGGACAAAGCGGGCGGCAGCUAACCCUCGCCCGGCUGCGAGGGCUGGGGGCAAGGCGGCGCGCGGCCCGAACCUGGAGCAGCGCGGGGAAAGGGGAGGGGGCCUGGGGCCCUCGGGUCCGCGCGGGGCUGAGCUGCCGAGGGGUACCCUGCCAUCACCACCCUGGCGAGGGCAGCGGGUUUGCGCCCAGGUCUGGGGCCCGGACACUGAGCUCCAGGGCGCCCCUCCAGGCCUGGGGCCUGGGGCCUGGAGCAUGCAGCGGUGGACCAGCCCCCUGGGCUUUCAGGGGUGAGGGGGGCACAUGUCCAAUACCCUGUCCCUCCCGCCUCCUUUCAUUCCCUAGGGACCCACUUCUCUCUCUGCGGGAAGCCCGGCCCUGGGGAAGACCCCUCCACCCCCUCGGCCGCAGGCGGGUGGUCGCAGAAAGACCCUGGCUAUGGUGCUGUUUGGUGGCUGCGUGGCCAGGGGUGGCCAGGCUGGAGGGAGGCCGCCCUCGUUGCUGCCCAGGCCAGGCCUAG